UACAGAGGGUGCGAGCGUUAAUCGGAAUUACUGGGCGUAAAGCGCGCGUAGGCGGCUUUGCAAGUCGGGUGUGAAAUCCCCAGGCUUAACCUGGGAACUGCAUUCGAGACUGCAUUGCUAGAGUAUGGGAGAGGGAAGUGGAAUUUCAGGUGUAGCGGUGAAAUGCGUAGAUAUCAGUCGGAACACCGGUGGCGAAGGCGGCUUCUUGGGCCGAGAUUGACGCUGAGGCGCGAAAGCUGGGGGAGCGAACGGG
rnacentral:rRNA from 1 species